rnacentral:rRNA from 1 species
GUGGGGAAUCUUGCGCAAUGGGCGAAAGCCUGACGCAGCCAUGCCGCGUGGAUGAUGAAGGUCUUAGGAUUGUAAAAUCCUUUCACCGGUGAAGAUAAUGACUGUAGCCGGAGAAGAAGCCCCGGCUAACUUCGUGCCAGCAGCCGCGGUAAUACGAAGGGGGCUAGCGUUGCUCGGAAUUACUGGGCGUAAAGGGCGCGUAGGCGGACAGUUUAGUCAGAGGUGAAAGCCCAGGGCUCAACCUUGGAAUUGCCUUUGAUACUGGCUGUCUUGAGUACGGGAGAGGUGAGUGGAACUCCGAGUGUAGAGGUGAAAUUCGUAGAUAUUCGGAAGAACACCAGUGGCGAAGGCGACUCACUGGCCCGUUACUGACGCUGAGGCGCGAAAGCGUGGGGAGCAAACAGGAUUAGAAACCCCGGUAGUCC